UACGGGGGGAGCAAGCGUUGUUCGGAUUUACUGGGCGUAAAGGGCGCGUAGGCGGCCACUGCAAGUCGGUUGUGAAAUCUCCGGGCUUAACCCGGAAAGGUCAAUCGAUACUGCAGGGCUAGAGUGCGGAAGGGGCUACUGGAAUUCUCGGUGUAGCGGUGAAAUGCGUAGAUAUAGGAAGGAACACCAGUGGCGAAGGCGACCACCUGGACUGAUACUGACACUGAGGUGCGAAAGCUAGGGGAGCGAACAGG
rnacentral:rRNA from 1 species